rnacentral:misc_RNA from 1 species
GUAGGUGAACCUGCGGAAGGAUCAUUAACACGUAUCCACGUAUCAACCCCUCUGUGAAAACGCAAAAGCAGCAAGGUCUGGUCUUAGUGCGUCUGUCUGCUAUGGGUCCUAAUGAUGGGUGACUCUCUCUCUCUCUCGGGGGGGACGAGAGUCACAGGGCUCGGACGGCGUGUGUUUGACGAUCAACCGAUACUUUUCCAUUGUUGGCCUUUACCCAACUUUUUAACCCCUUUGUACUCUUUUGUACUGAACCAUUCUUCGAUGCUCUCCCUCAAAAAGAGAGUGACGAAUGAUAUUACGAAACUUAAGAACAACUCUUAGCAACGGAUAUCUUGGUUCCC